rnacentral:rRNA from 1 species
ACCCUGGUGGCGAGUGGCGAACGGGUGAGUAAUACAUCGGAACGUGUCCUGUAGUGGGGGAUAGCCCGGCGAAAGCCGGAUUAAUACCGCAUACGAUCUACGGAGGAAAGCGGGGGAUCUUCGGACCUCGCGCUGCAGGGGCGGCCGAUGGCAGAUUAGCUAGUUGGUGGGGUAAAGGCCUACCAAGGCGACGAUCUGUAGCUGGUCUGAGAGGACGACCAGCCACACUGGGACUGAGACACGGCCCAGACUCCUACGGGAGGCAGCAGUGGGGAAUUUUGGACAAUGGGGGCAACCCUGAUCCAGCAAUGCCGCGUGUGUGAAGAAGGCCUUCGGGUUGUAAAGCACUUUUGUCCGGAAAGAAAACUUCGUCCCUAAUAUGGAUGGAGGAUGACGGUACCGGAAGAAUAAGCACCGGCUAACUACGUGCCAGCAGCCGCGGUAAUACGUAGGGUGCGAGCGUUAAUCGGAAUUACUGGGCGUAAAGCGUGCGCAGGCGGUCUGUUAAGACCGAUGUGAAAUCCCCGGGCUUAACCUGGGAACUGCAUUGGUGACUGGCAGGCUAGAGUGUGGCAGAGGGAGGUAGAAUUCCACGUGUAGCAGUGAAAUGCGUAGAGAUGUGGAGGAAUACCGAUGGCGAAGGCAGCCUCCUGGGCCAACACUGACGCUCAUGCACGAAAGCGUGGGGAGCAAACAGGAUUAGAUACCCUGGUAGUCCACGCCCUAAACGAUGUCAACUAGUUGUUGGGGAUUCAUUUCCUUAGUAACGUAGCUAACGCGUGAAGUUGACCGCCUGGGGAGUACGGUCGCAAGAUUAAAACUCAAAGGAAUUGACGGGGACCCGCACAAGCGGUGGAUGAUGUGGAUUAAUUCGAUGCAACGCGAAAAACCUUACCUACCCUUGACAUGGUCGGAAUCCUGCUGAAAGGCGGGAGUGCUCGAA